AUGGCGGCUCGCGCUGGGAAGGCCCUCGCCUUGGCCAUGCUGAUCUCCUUCCUCGUGGUCCAGGGGACAACGGGGAAACUGACGGAAAACUGCUACUGCGUGUUCUACAAUUGGUGCUUUAACUUUGGCCCUAAGCCACGCGACCACGUCAUCUGCAUGGAGAAAAGCCUCAAGCAUUGUUUCAAGGGGUGCCCGCGUACUGCUACUACUCCUUACGUGACGCCACUGGCCGAUCUUGUCAACCCCGUUACAGACGAGGGCAGCAUGGCCGUUCCUGCCGGGGGUGCCGAUCACGGCGAGUUCCACGUCACUGAGGGCAGCGUGGCUGCUCCUGCCGGGGGUGCCGAUCACGGCAAGUUCAACGUCGCUGAAGAGGAUGCAGCUCCGUGA
rnacentral:rRNA from 1 species